AAAUUGAAGAGUUUGAUCAUGGCUCAGAUUGAACGCUGGCGGCAGGCCUAACACAUGCAAGUCGAACGGUAACAGGAAGCAGCUUGCUGCUUUGCUGACGAGUGGCGGACGGGUGAGUAAUGUCUGGGAAACUGCCUGAUGGAGGGGGAUAACUACUGGAAACGGUAGCUAAUACCGCAUAACGUCGCAAGACCAAAGAGGGGGACCUUCGGGCCUCUUGCCAUCGGAUGUGCCCAGAUGGGAUUAGCUAGUAGGUGGGGUAACGGCUCACCUAGGCGACGAUCCCUAGCUGGUCUGAGAGGAUGACCAGCCACACUGGAACUGAGACACGGUCCAGACUCCUACGGGAGGCAGCAGUGGGGAAUAUUGCACAAUGGGCGCAAGCCUGAUGCAGCCAUGCCGCGUGUGUGAAGAAGGCCUUCGGGUUGUAAAGCACUUUCAGCGGGGAGGAAGGCGGUAAGGUUAAUAACCUUGCCGAUUGACGUUACCCGCAGAAGAAGCACCGGCUAACUCCGUGCCAGCAGCCGCGGUAAUACGGAGGGUGCAAGCGUUAAUCGGAAUUACUGGGCGUAAAGCGCACGCAGGCGGUCUGUCAAGUCGGAUGUGAAAUCCCCGGGCUCAACCUGGGAACUGCAUUCGAAACUGGCAGGCUAGAGUCUUGUAGAGGGGGGGUAGAAUUCCAGGUGUAGCGGUGAAAUGCGUAGAGAUCUGGAGGAAUACCGGUGGCGAAGGCGGCCCCCUGGACAAAGACUGACGCUCAGGUGCGAAAGCGUGGGGAGCAAACAGGAUUAGAUACCCUGGUAGUCCACGCCGUAAACGAUGUCGACUUGGAGGUUGUGCCCUUGAGGCGUGGCUUCCGGAGCUAACGCGUUAAGUCGACCGCCUGGGGAGUACGGCCGCAAGGUUAAAACUCAAAUGAAUUGACGGGGGCCCGCACAAGCGGUGGAGCAUGUGGUUUAAUUCGAUGCAACGCGAAGAACCUUACCUACUCUUGACAUCCAGAGAACUUUCCAGAGAUGGAUUGGUGCCUUCGGGAACUCUGAGACAGGUGCUGCAUGGCUGUCGUCAGCUCGUGUUGUGAAAUGUUGGGUUAAGUCCCGCAACGAGCGCAACCCUUAUCCUUUGUUGCCAGCGGUCCGGCCGGGAACUCAAAGGAGACUGCCAGUGAUAAACUGGAGGAAGGUGGGGAUGACGUCAAGUCAUCAUGGCCCUUACGAGUAGGGCUACACACGUGCUACAAUGGCGCAUACAAAGAGAAGCGACCUCGCGAGAGCAAGCGGACCUCAUAAAGUGCGUCGUAGUCCGGAUUGGAGUCUGCAACUCGACUCCAUGAAGUCGGAAUCGCUAGUAAUCGUAGAUCAGAAUGCUACGGUGAAUACGUUCCCGGGCCUUGUACACACCGCCCGUCACACCAUGGGAGUGGGUUGCAAAAGAAGUAGGUAGCUUAACCUUCGGGAGGGCGCUUACCACUUUGUGAUUCAUGACUGGGGUGAAGUCGUAACAAGGUAACCGUAGGGGAACCUGCGGUUGGAUCACCUCCUUACCUUAAAGAA
rnacentral:rRNA from 1 species